GACGAACGCUGGCGGCGUGCUUAACACAUGCAAGUCGAACGGAAAGGCCCUGCUUUUGUUGGGUGCUCGAGUGGCGAACGGGUGAGUAACACGUGAGUAACCUGCCCUUGACUUUGGGAUAACUUCAGGAAACUGGGGCUAAUACCGGAUAGGAGCUCCUGCUGCAUGGGGGGGGUCGGAAAGUUUCGGCGGUUGGGGAUGGACUCGCGGCUUAGCAGCUUGUUGGUGGGGUAGUGGCUUACCAGGGCUUUGACGGAUAGCCGGCCUGGGAGGGUGACCGGCCACAUUGGGACUGAGAGACGGCCCAGACGCCUACGGGAGGCAGCAGGGGGGAAUAUUGCACAAUGGGCGGAAGCCUGAUGCAGCAACGCCGCGUGCGGGAUGACGUCCUUCGGGUUGUAAACCGCUUUCGCCUGUGACGAAGCGUGAGUGACGGUAAUGGGUAAAGAAGCACCGGCUAACUACGUG
rnacentral:rRNA from 1 species